rnacentral:sRNA from 1 species
GAUUACAGCGCCAAAAGUCUGACCACACGUCGUGCUUGCACGUAAGUGGGGGAAUGGCUUUAUGGCGCGCCCCCACAUGAGUAAGUAGUGGGGGAGGGGCCCCACGGAUUGCGAAUGUGGGGCAGGAUUGUGGGAGCGCGCAGCGCGGAACAAUCCGUAA